UGUGUGUGCUGUGUGUGUGUGUGUGCUGUGUGUAUGUGUGUGUGUGUAAGUACCAGCAGAUGUCAGAGGCCUUGGGUUCCCUGAAGCUGGGUUGUCAAGGGUGGCUGUAAGCCAGGGAUGUGGGUGCUGGGAACCAAACUCAGUUCCUCUGCGAGAGCAGUUUGCUCUGACUCACUGAGCCAUCUCUCUAGCUCCAAAAGCUCCCACACAAAAGCUCAAAAUUUCUCACUGAUACUAUGCAGUGCACACCGCAUAAAGCCUGGUUAAAAUGUAGGACACAUACACAGGCAGCAUCCAUACCCAUGAGCUGUGUGUUUAUAUAUUCAAACUACAUGGAUCAAAAAUAUUGGGGGUAAAAAUUUUGUCUUUGCAGGAAAAAAAAGGCUCUUAUUUUGCAUCAGGUGCUAAUAGUUUGGCAAUUAUUGAGAUAGGAAUUAUAUUAUACUCAUCAUGAAUAGAUGAUUUAAACUUUUACUGCAUAUAGAUAUGUAUUGAGUAUAUGCAAAUAUCAUGAAUUUUAAUACAAGAGUCUUAAGCCUCUCUGAAUGUGUGUUUGCUCAGGAUGGAUUUGCUUUGGGAACCAGUCGCUCCCUACAUACGAACACUGUAUGCGGCCAUGGAUUAAAGUUUGUCCCUGGGUUUGCAAAAGGGUGGUGAAAGACAGACUCGAUUCAUCAAAAUGUGCUGGGUCAUCAACCUCAUUAGUAUGAUUGAAAGGGCUCUCCAUCCAAACUCAUCAAAAGAGAGAUGUUGUAAAACACUGUAUACUCACCAAAGGAAAAUCCACUAGAAUGAUGUUUUGGUUCUUAAUGUCUGUGAAGCAAGACUACUACAGCUGAAAUCACAUAUUGACUCUGACACACUGAUAGUGCGAGAUUUUAAUAUGUGACUCUCACCAAUGGUCAGGUUAUCCAGGCAAAAGCUAAACAGAGAAAUACUGAAGCUAACAGACAUUAUAAAACAAAUGGACCUAAUAGAUAUCAACAGAAUAGUUCAUCUCCAAAUACAAAAGAAUAUACAUUCUUCUCAGCCCCUCACAGAAAAUUCUUCAAAAUCAGUCACAUGCCCCAUCACAAAGCACAUCUCAACAGAUACAAGAAAAUUGAAAUAAUCUCCUGCUUCCUAUCAGAUUACAAAGAAUUAAAGCUGGAUUUCAACAACAGAGAGCCUACAAGCUCAUGGAAACUAAAGACUCUCUACCAAAUGAUUAUUGACUAGGUCAAGGCAAAGAAAGAAAGAAAGAAA